GUGCUGGCGUAGUCUAGUGGUUACUUCGCUUUCCCAGCUUUCGACUGUCACUUGAAUUCUGUGGGUUCGAACCCCACAAGAACCA